CGCUCCGCCGGCCCCGCCGGGGCAGCCGCGGCGUCACCGGGAACGGCCGGGAAAAGCCGGAGAAACAAAGAACAUGGCGAGGGGAGGAGGAGCUUCCGCCACCUCAACCGCUGGGAAGGGCGCUCCGGGGGCGUACAAUGCCCGCCGCGGGGCGGGUUCGCUUCCCUCCGCCCUCUUUCCCCGCCCUUGUGGCCGGGCUGGCGGGGGGCUGGGGCGGAACGGGACGGGACGGGCUGAACUGAACUGAGCUGGACUGGACUGGAGGUGGCCGUCGGGAGUGGGUCCCCUGUCUGCCACAAGUUUCGCCCAGAGUGGGAAAGUUGGGCGGGAUCCGGCCAGAUUCCUGGAAAUCUGAGGAAAUUCUUGGUGGAUGAAGAAUGUAAUUCUCCCUGGAGGUGUGGAUAUCUCUUAUGAAGGGGACAGAAGUAGGAUCAGCUGAUAUCCAUGAAGCACAACUUCAGAACAUGCAAGAAUACCUUGGAGUGAACUGGCAGUAAGCCUUGCAGUACCACGGUGGCAAUAAUACUGGCUGUCCUCUGGAGAUGCUGAAGCUCAGCCUUAUUGUGAACUUCUUUCUUAGACCCUCCAACUUGUUCACGAAGGACUUAACACUGAUUUGGAUUCAUAUGGUCAUGGGAAGCUUCACGCUUUUGCUCAGGAUCAAACUUUUGUGGUGAGUGCUGCAUUUUAGGCCUUGACAGCUGAGGGAGUGACCAGCUCUGCUUGAGCUGUGAGCUUGAAACACGAGUAAGUAAGAGGGUGGUUAGAAAUCAGAAGAUUGACCUUGUGCUAUGCUAAGGCAACUCUAAAACCAAUAAAAUGAGCAUUCACAAGUCAAGAAAAUCUGGAGUUGCAAAAUGCUUGCUUUAUCAACCCAGACACAGCUUGGCAGUAAUUGCUGUAGGACAUCUAAAUUAAACAAUGAGGCUUCUGUGGUGGCAACUGCUAUGAAAGACUUUGCAAUGUACAUCAGUUCCUCCAAGACCCAAAUGCACCUUUACAUUCAAGGGGGACUUCUCAGCAUUGAGAUCCUCACAAACAAGCCACUGAGGCCCUAAAGCAGCAAAAUACUUUUAAUUGUUAUCUUUAAGCAUUUUGGUUUUGAUGAGGGGAGACAUAAGCUCUUAAUUAUUUGUGCUGAACCAGGGAGAUGGGAGGCUCCUUGAGUAUCUUUUAAAACACUUAAACACUAGCUGUGCCCUGAAAUGCAGAGCCUGGGAUGCUGCUGCCUUACCCUCUCUCAAGCUGCACUUGUCCUCUGUGAAUAUGCUCACUAACCUUCAAGUAACUUGCCUUGCAUCUGAUUCUUUGUGGGAAUUUUGCCUAUCCCAAGUGCAUAUCAGUUUAGAGGAAUAGGCAUAGUGCUGUAUUCAGCUUUAACUGGAGCACUUUUGAUAAUUGUCCAUCUUAUUCAAAUACUGCUGAGCAUGGGGUCAUUAAAUAAUCUGAAAGACAAGUGGAGGAUGAAGACAGGAGGAGAACUGACUUUGUCUUUUGUAUGUUUGCAUCUAUAUCAUAACCAGCUAUUGGUAGAUACUUCAUCCCCAUCAGCACAGCUAGCAUUUUGGAGUUCACCACAGGAGGCAGAAAAAGGGAGAAAAGAACUCCCCAUCCUCUCAAAGCAGCAGGCAAUUGCAGCUGUUCUCAAGGAGAAGGUUUGUGUCAGCAGAUCUCAUACAGCUAUGCUCAAAAAGUUUGUGUCAGCAACGAUAAAAGCUGGCCCAUCAGCAUUUCUGUUUUAUUCUAUACACAAAAUGCAUAUUACUGAACAAUUAUGCCAAAGGCAGGGAAUAUUUCUUGAUAGCACAACUUGGAAGUAGCAUCUCCCUUUGGGAGCAAUCAUGUCACGUGCCACAGAGUCUCUGUGGGUUUAGAUGUAAAUCCGUGCUGUAAGACUGUCUUGAGAGCCAAUUUGUUAGGUGUUACAUCUUGGCCAAGGUAGUCUUGGCCUGAUCCAAAGUUCAGGGAAAGUAGUGAAUUGCUUGUAAUUCUAAAAAGCGUGUUUGUAAAGGAAACUUAGUGAUGUUUAGAUUUUUAGCCUACAGUCUUCAGAGAAUACAAAAUACACAGUGAUUUUGGUAUGCAGUUCAAUCUAGCUGGUGUAGAGUAGAAAAGAGAACUAGGAUGAAUUUUGAAUAAAAAUUGAUUUACUGCUUUAAUAUAUGCUUAGUGCUCUAGCUUAACCACCAUUUAACUGGUUUUGGUUGUUUCCAUUAAGAAAGAUGUUUUAAUUCCUAUUUUGUCAAAUCUACAGUUCAGAACAUUUAUUUAUUUCGCCGUUCAGAACUUUGGUGGAGGAACAGAAUUGGGUUUUAAUUUCACUUUUUAUUGAAUGAGCCCUGCUUUUCUCUCCUCUGAAUAGGCAGCAACUUGCUGCACAGUCCUCAUCUCUGCUUAUGAUAAAUGCAAGUUCUGUAAGAAACAAACCAAAGAAACCCAAACAAAACAUCAUGCUUAAAGUAGUUAAGGAAGUAGGAGAAGAGAAGCAUAAAAAUCCACAGACACUCACUGAAGAUUUGAUAUCUAUCCAUAGAAAGGAGCUUGACUAAUUAAUUACUUAACUGUCCAAGUCUGAUUUCUGAUAAUACAAACUGCUUUGGACAUGGGUACUCUGGUGAUCCUAACCAAUACUCUGGUGUGGAAAUUGCUGUGAUGCUGAGAUCUGCCUUGCAUACUUGUUGGUUGUUGCCUCCAGUCUGCUGCUGGAGGCAACUGCUGCCAACCCCUCAGCCAGCACAGCAGAUUUAAUGAAACACCCAUUUCUUUUAAGCAGCCUUUGAGAGUAUUCAUGAUAGAUCUGGAUACCUGUGCAAGGCAAUGAAGAGAAUGCAAGGAUUAGGAGUGCUCAGAAGUUUGCAACCAGGCCACUGGUCCCAGGUGAUAAUAUCCAGCCAGGAGGGGGUGUGUGUCACUAUAAGAACUUUGAAAAUAAGAAACAAAAUUACAAACCCCAAAAUGAAACAAAACAAUGCCCA